rnacentral:rRNA from 1 species
AUUAGAGUUUGAUCAUGGCUCAGAUUGAACGCUGGCGGCAGGCUUAACACAUGCAAGUCGAGCGGGGGAGAUUGCUUCGGUAAUUGACCUAGCGGCGGACGGGUGAGUAAUACUUAGGAAUCUGCCUAUUAAUGGGGGACAACAUCUCGAAAGGGAUGCUAAUACCGCAUACGCCCUACGGGGGAAAGCAGGGGAUCACUUGUGACCUUGCGUUAAUAGAUGAGCCUAAGUCGGAUUAGCUAGUUGGUGGGGUAAAGGCCUACCAAGGCGACGAUCUGUAGCGGGUCUGAGAGGAUGAUCCGCCACACUGGGACUGAGACACGGCCCAGACUCCUACGGGAGGCAGCAGUGGGGAAUAUUGGACAAUGGGGGGAACCCUGAUCCAGCCAUGCCGCGUGUGUGAAGAAGGCCUUAUGGUUGUAAAGCACUUUAAGCAAGGAGGAGGCUCUCUUGGUUAAUACCCAAGAUGAGUGGACGUUACUCGCAGAAUAAGCACCGGCUAACUCUGUGCCAGCAGCCGCGGUAAUACAGAGGGUGCGAGCGUUAAUCGGAUUUACUGGGCGUAAAGCGUGCGUAGGCGGCUUUUUAAGUCGGAUGUGAAAUCCCCGAGCUUAACUUGGGAAUUGCAUUCGAUACUGGGAAGCUAGAGUAUGGGAGAGGAUGGUAGAAUUCCAGGUGUAGCGGUGAAAUGCGUAGAGAUCUGGAGGAAUACCGAUGGCGAAGGCAGCCAUCUGGCCUAAUACUGACGCUGAGGUACGAAAGCAUGGGGAGCAAACAGGAUUAGAUACCCUGGUAGUCCAUGCCGUAAACGAUGUCUACUAGCCGUUGGGGCCUGUGAGGCUUUAGUGGCGCAGCUAACGCGAUAAGUAGACCGCCUGGGGAGUACGGUCGCAAGACUAAAACUCAAAUGAAUUGACGGGGGCCCGCACAAGCGGUGGAGCAUGUGGUUUAAUUCGAUGCAACGCGAAGAACCUUACCUGGUCUUGACAUAGUAAGAACUUUCCAGAGAUGGAUUGGUGCCUUCGGGAACUUACAUACAGGUGCUGCAUGGCUGUCGUCAGCUCGUGUCCGUGGAAUGUUUGGGUUUAAGUCCCGCAACGGAGCGCAAACCCCUUUUCCCUUAUUUGGCCAGCCACUUCGGGGUGGGACCUUUAAAGGAUACCUGCAGUGACAAAACUGGAAGAAAGAGGGGGACGAACCGUCAAGUCUAUUCAUGGUCCUUACACGCACCAAGGGGCUAUC